rnacentral:rRNA from 1 species
AGCUCCAGUAGCGUAUAUUAAAGUUGUUGCAGUUAAAAAGCUCGUAGUUGGAUUUCUGGUACGGCGCGCCCGGCCCGCCGGUCUUUCAAUGACCGUGUGAGUGCUGGCGCGCGCCUGCCAUCCCGCCGGGGAGCCCGAGCUACCCUUCAUUGGGCCGGUUCGGAUCGCGACCAGGCGCGUUUACUUUGAAAAAAUUAGAGUGUUUCAAGCAGGCAUUGUUGCCGUGAAUACAUUAGCAUGGAAUAAUAAGAUAGGACUUGGGUCUUAUUUUGUUGGUUUCUAGGACCGAAGUAAUGAUUGAUAGGGAUAGUUGGGGGUGCUCGUAUUCAGCGGCCAGAGGUGAAAUUCUUGGAUUCGCUGAAGACGAACUAAUGCGAAAGCAUUCACCAAGGAUGUCUUCU